CGUGCUAUGUUGAUUUCUCAUAGCAGACUGCCUGUACAGCAAGGAGGAAGGUGGGAUGACGUCAAGUCAGCAUGGCCUUUAUGCCCUGGGCUACACACACGCUACAAUGGGUGGGAACAGAGGGUUGCCACGAAGCAAUUCGGAGCGAAUCCCUUAAAACCAUCCUCAGUUCGGAUUGCAGGCUGCAAUCGCCUGCAUGAAGCCGGAGCUGCUAGUAACCGCAGGUCAGCUAUACUGCGGUGAAUACGUUCUCGGGCCUU
rnacentral:rRNA from 1 species